UACAGAGGGUGCAAGCGUUGUUCGGAAUUACUGGGCGUAAAGCGCGCGCAGGCGGCUAUCCAAGUCAGUGGUGAAAGCCCGGAGCUCAACUCCGGAACUGCCAUUGAAACUGUUUAGCUUGAGGACGAGAGAGGUGAGUGGAAUUCCCAGUGUAGAGGUGAAAUUCGUAGAUAUUGGGAAGAACACCGGUGGCGAAGGCGGCUCACUGGCUCGUAUCUGACGCUCAGGCGCGAUAGCGUGGGGAUCAAACAGG
rnacentral:rRNA from 1 species